CAAGCACUGCCGCUUUACAAUUACAAUUAUACAAAAAACGAAAGACAAACCAGCAAAUUCCUCUUUCACUGUGAGAACUGCAGCCAUGAAUUGGGAACUUCCCACCAUUGAUCCACAUGCUCCUGUGAAGUUCACUGAGCUGUAUGACUUUUUGACACCACCAGAAUGUCUGGAUGAGAAAACAACCAUGAGGCGGUUCAUGUCCUUACUGGAGCAAGGAGCGGUUCCAUCCUCUGUUACUCUGAAGGACAUCACCGAGUGGCUCUCUGGAGAACAUUGCUUCAUCAGCAAGUGAGACAGGCUUAGUCUUUCUCUUACAAAUCACAUGUCUGUGCA